UGACCGAAAAAUCAAAAAAUCGCUCCUUUUUUUGCGAUUAAAAGGCGGUGGUGCAAGUGGGGAGGGUGGAGCAGGUGGUGGCAGAGACGCUGACAACGGCGGCAUGGCAGAAGUCAGAGGGCAAUUGGCUGAAAGUCAGGCAUAAGGGCGGUGGCUAGGGUUUUUAGUCUUCUUUUUUUCUAAUUGUUAUGGGCUAGGGUUAAGAGGGUUUUGGGCUGUAUUGGGCUAGGGUAAUUGGGUCUAAAAUUUAGGCUUUGGUUUUAAUUGGUUGGGGUUUUGAGGCCUGGGUGAAAUUGGGCUUGUACAAAUAAUAUUUAGAUAUUUCUUUCCAUUUCCAAGUUUAUAAUUAUUGUGUGGUAACCAAUCAAAUCCAGCUAAUGUUAAGAUCAAAAA